rnacentral:tRNA from 1 species
GUGGAUGUAGCUCAGUUGGUAGAGCGCUCGCUUAGCAUGUGAAAGGCACCGGGAUUGAUACCUAGCAUCUCCA